UACGAAGGGGCUACGCGUUGUUCGGAAUUACUGGGCGUAAAGCGCGCGCAGGCGGUUAUCCAAGUCAGUGGUGAAAGCCCGGAGCUCAACUCCGGAACUGCCAUUGAAACUGUUUAGCUUGAGGAGUGAGAGAGGUGAGUGGAAUUCCCCAGUGUAGAGGUGAAAUUCGUAGAUAUUGGGAAGAACACCGGUGGCGAAGGCGGCUCACUGGCUCAUUACUGACGCUCAGGCGCGAUAGGCGUGGG
rnacentral:rRNA from 1 species